CCUAAAAGUCUUCAUCAAAGUUCUGGGGGAAGGAUCCUGAAGCCAACUACUGGUGACAGGAGUCAAGGAGAACUCAAGUCUUCUGAUUAAUUUGAAAAUUGCAAAAAUAGGGCACUAUUGGACAAUUCCCAUUACUUUUAAUCCAUUUGAAUGGAAGGCAAUGCAGGUUUGUUUUGUUUAUAAGCUUCUGCCUCCUGAUGCUAACUCUGGAAACAGAAAACCUAAUUCCUCACUCAAGUCAAAGAAUGCCAGCUAGAGAAAAGUUGGCCUGCCUAAGUUCCAUUGAAAACAAAAGACUUGGAUGCUUUAAGUUAAGUAUUUCAGGAUGAAGCAAGGUGUGAUAGGUACAAACAUAAGCCAUCACAGUAUCCCGGUAAAGGUAUAUGAAUGCUUAGGUAGAAGAGAUGGUAGCUUGGUCUAUGAUUUGGCAACAAUGUGUGUUGCAGGGUGGUGUUCUGAUAUUAAAUCAGCUAAAGGCUCUACAUCUUUCCAAAAUAACAAGGAAUUGUAUGGGCAACUGGGGGAAAAUAUAGCAAUUUGGGGUGGAGGUAGGUAGCAUACAUAGAAAAGCAGUGGUAGUAGCAGCCUUUCCUCUUUUAAACUACCACUGUUUUAGUUGGUCGAUGUGGCGUUUGCCCUCUCAUUUGAAAAUGUCUGUACAGGGGGAGAGAAAGGGUUAAUAUGUAGACCAAUAGGAAAGCCGGAGGCGGAGCCUACCUGUUUAUAAAAGGGCUUAGCCCGAGGUUUGGUUUAGGUGGGUAGUUGGUUGUUUUAGUGGGUUGGUUGGUUGGGAAAGGCAGUUGGAAAAGCAGUUGGCAGACAGUUGGAAAUAGAGAGACAGUUAGUGCAGUUGGUUCUUGUGUGAGGGGAAGUGGAAGAGAUAGAGACAGGAUAAAAUAAGACUAAGAAGGUAAAGAGUAACAACAUAUUGAAGGCAGUUAAAGUUUAUUUGUGUCUGCAAUAAACUACACUCUUCUUCCUUAACUUGAGAACCUGACUGAGACUAAGUGAUUUACCGGGGAGGAUCUGGUUGGUGGCAGCGGAUUAGUGGUGUACGGGUCAAUAGUCCGUGAGACGACUGGGGGCUCUGUAUGAAUGCCACAGUCUCUAAGGUGCUACUGGACAAUGAUUUUAUUUUUAUAUAUAUUUCGACUGUUUUUGUGUGUGUUUUUUUAAUGUAGAUUCGCAAUUGAACCAACAACCAUAAACACCCCCUUGGAAUACACUAAGAGAGUCAGGGGUACCAUUUACCCCCCAACAAUGCCCCUGGAAUUACACUACAUCCCAAUAUAGUGUCGCCCCAAAGCUGGGUGGGGCAUUAGAGAAAAUGGCAGUCCCUGGGAAACAUUUGCAAGGGUCAGUUGGCAGGUGGAAGAACAGUUCUCCUCUGCAAAUGUGCCCCCUUAGCUCUUUAAUCGACUGUGGCACAAAGUGGACUGUGGAUAGUGUCAUUAAUUGUACUGACUUUUCUUUGCAUUUGUUCCAGUUGGAAUUCUUUCUUCUUUGCACCAAUUUAGCAAUUAGCACCCUGCUUCACUCUGGUUCCAUUCUUUAGAGCACUAGAUUCUAGGGUUUUGUUUGUUUGUCUGCUAGCUUGCAAGCUUGCUGAGUAAGCCCCUGGAAGAAAGCUGGAGAAGCCUUUAAUGUAUUUAGGAGAUGGCCUGUUUUUAGCCACUUAGGGUUAAAAAUCACAUAUUAUUGAAAACACUGGUGGGGGGAUGUAAUUGACAUAGAUGUAGAGCUUGUCAGUUUCUCAACAACCUCUCCUGUCAACCCCAUGAAGAUUUCCAAAGGAAUGGUUAGAAGGAUUGGUUUGCCUAUUGUGAAUUAUCCUAUUUACUUUGGCUAUUAUGUAUUGAAUUGACUGAAGACCAUUCCCAACAGUUGACAAGAAACAUCAUUAUGAAGAAAACCAAAUUUUCACUUUAUGGGUUGAGUUAUCUGUGAUUUAAAGAUCAUUACAAUCUCUUUAAAAUACUUAGAGCCAUCCAAAGAAAUUUUUAAUCAAAGGAAGCCUAUGCCUUUCACUUAGGAAACCAAUAGUUAUGUUACUUCAUUAUUAUUAUUUUUUGCUAAAGCCACAAAAGCUAAACAGUUUCCUAAAAUAAUUUUGAUUUUGGGGUGCUUAGGUUCUGGGGUGAGAAACAAAGCGUGAUGUGUGACUGGCAAGCUUUCUAGUAAUAAUAAUCCCAACAGUAAAAUAAAAUGUGAAAUAUACAUUGAUCUGUUAAGCACCAAAGGACAUGAUAAAGCUACUGAAAACUAACACAGAUACUAAAAACUCCUAAUCUCUUUACCAGCUUUGCUUAUUUUCUUAGGUGCCUCCUUGUGCUCAGAUUGUAUAUUCAUCUGCCUCAAAUUUUGGUUGACUUUUUAAACUUGUUAAAAAGCCCACAUUUUGUUGUUAUAAAACAAUCCUAGUCUUGGGGUAGGCAUUUGGUGGCCAUGAACUGGAUGUUUUAGCAGCUUAUUUCGGUGCCACUUAACAUGUUAAUUUUAGAUAUAAACCAAAGGUGUUACAAAUAUAACCUAAAUGCAUGAAUAUGGCAAUAACAUACUUGUAAAUAUACAACUUUAUGCUCCUUGUGCGUUCAGGAUUAAUUGUGUCUACCACCUCAAGUGUGUGGUCACCAGUGCUGAUGCGUGGAAUGAUGGUGAUGUCCUGACGAAGAUAUUGGUCUUUGUCAGGCUGAUUGAUGGUUGAUGAGUCCUUGUAGAGCCUCCUCGGAGUGCAUUGUCAAGGCUGCGUCAUCUGCAAGCAACAUCUCACAGAUAAGAACUCUCUACACUUUUGGCAUGGAGUUGAAUAGACCCAAUUGAAUAGACCCCCUUUCAGUGUUAUUUUUUUCUAGAAAAAGAGGUGCCAGAACUCACCAUGAGCAACACCCUCAUUCUCUUAGAAUGGCAAUGGCACACACCUGAGAGGUGCUGGAACUAAGUUCCGGUGAGUUCCGGCUGAAAAAGACCCUCUUCCAUCACUCCUUGAAUGGAAGUACACACCAUCUUCAGUGGAACUGAUGGCAUGUGAAAAGAACAGAGAGAGAAAUAUGCCAAAGAAUUGAGGUAAGAAUAUAACCCUGUUUCACAUUGAUCUUUAUAGAGAAGGCAUCCAAGGAUGAACCGUCAUACUGGAUGUCUCCAUGCAUGUUCUUGUGAAAGGAGACAAUCAUCUUGUGGAGCUUAUUCUACCUUGUUGAGAAGUGUGAAGAGCCUGCUUCAACCGAUGAGGUCAAAAGCCUUCGUCAGGUCUAUGAGGGCAAUGUACAAGGGACAUUUCUGCCCUCAGCAUCACUCCUGCAGCUGGCACAAUGAGAAACCCAUCUCAGCUGCAUUGUGACUUGGGAUAAGCCCCGUCAGCGAGUGACUGUAGUCUGUUGAGAACUACACAGUCGAAGGGUUUCCCCACAAUAUUCAACAAGGGGAUUCCAUGGUAGUUGUUACAGUCCUGGUGGUCACAUUUGUUCUUGUAAAGGCUCACAAUGCUGGAAUCGCACAUGUCUUGUGGCAUAGACCCUGUUUCCCAGCACUGUAAGAGAAGGCUGUGGAGGUGUAUCGUGAGGACGGCUGACUUUCAGCACUUCUGUUGACUGUCCUGAUUAUCUUAUCCAUCAAUGUGACCCUGUUCUAGUUUUAUUGGGUAGGUGGGAAUGAACCUGUCAGUUUCCCCCCACUAUCGAUUUUCCAUGCAGAAUUUUAUAAACCUUGGGGAGUGGGUGCUAUGAGACUUGAGGUGAGCACAUAUCCCCCCCCCUUUAAAAAGGUGUGUGUGGCGGGGCUGUAGGCAUCUACUGAACUUGAUGUUCAUUCCUGUAAUAAUAAUAAUAAUAAUAAUAAUAAUAAUAAUAAUAUAAUAUUUGUACCCUGCCCAUCUGGUUGGGUUUCCCCAGCCACUCAGGGUGGCUUCCAACAAAAGAUUAAAAAUACAUUAAAAACUUCCCUAAACAGGGCUUACCUUCAAAUGUCUUCUAAACAUCAGAUAGUUGUUUAUCUCUUUGACAUCUGGUGGGAGGGUUUCCACAGGGUGGGCGCCACUACCAAGAAGGUCCUCUACCUGGUUCCCUAUAGCUUUGCUUCUUGCAGGGAGGGAACUGCCAGAAGGCCCUCGGCGCUGGACCUCAGUGUCCGGGCAGAACAAUGGAGGUGGAGACGCUCCUUCAGGUAUACUGAAGGUUCCUGAAUGAAUCCUUAAGCAGUCUGAGUGCUGGAAAAAAUGUUGUGAUCACAAAGUGGGAGCACAGCUUUCUUCUGAUCUGACAUGCCAUGCCAGACUAACUUUAUCUUAUUGUUCACUGUAUAAAUAAAUACCCUACAAUGAACAGCAUCCAAAGUAGGGCCAAAGUAUUAAACAGACAAUAUGUAUUUCCCCCCCAACAGAAAUGCAAAGGAUUGCUUCAACUUCUCUGCCUUCUCCUUAUACUCUUGGUAGUAGGUACAGAUGUUUCCACAUCUGCUUUCUGAUGGCAUGAGGGUAUAUGAUUUAAAUGUGCUGCUUUUCUGGCACAACAAUUUCAGUCCUUCAUGAGCAAGCAUCAGAACCAUCUCACAGGCUUUUGCUUUGUCGAAACCUUGAGAUCCUAGUGGAGUAUUCGAGUCCUCAUGUUUAUUCUCCUAGACAAAUACAGGAAAAAGCCCACUUGCUCCCUUUGACCCUUCUCCUUGGCAACUGACAAUUACCUUCCUUAGCCCAAAGGGUUGAGGCAUUUGGGACUUGAGAGAGGUGCUUUAUUUGGAACACAUGAUCUGCAACCCAGAGCUUUGGAGUUCCUUUCAGGAGCCACAGAGUAUUUAUUUAUAUUAUAUCAAAUUAGAGGAAAUGAAGGGGCAUGUGUUGCAGGCAGCAACAGCAUUCUGCUUGUUAUAAACUCCCCUAUUAGAAAUGUUUUUGUGAAUGUCAGUGGGCCAGUGCACUUUGGGACUCAAACACCUAGACAGUCAAUCAUCAUAAUGAACCUUUUAUUUUAUUUUCAAAUGUAAUGAAUUACAUGUAACCUCUUCCAUUCCAUUUACGGAGCUAACUAUUCUGUUUCAACAUGAAACCGUUCAGGCUUAUGUUCAGUCAUGUGACUAAAAUGCUGUAGCUUCCCUAUCUCUGAACAGACCCCAGUUCAGAAAGUUUUCCCAAAAAGCCACAAAGAAAUCACAGGAAGGACUCUUUAAUUGUGGUGGUUUGUGAAGUAGAAUAGCCUAAAACUGUUUUGACCAGACUGAAGGUUAUCUGUUAACCUGUCCACUUUAAGCCACACAUUUAUUGCAUGACAACGUUCAGCCUUUUUUGAAUGCUACAAAGUUUUCCCCAUGCUCAAAUGCUCAGGAGUGGGUGAAGUUUCUGUCACUCCUAAAGAAACAACUGCUCUGUUGUACAUUGGCAUACAAUAUUCUCUAUGUUCCACUCAUCCUCUUGUUUUAUUUAAUCUACAGAGACAAAUUAAACCUGAUUUUUAAUGCCUUGUCACUAGCAACAACAAAACUACAUAUUUUAUCCAGGAAUUGUAAAGGUAAAGGACCAUUAGGCCCAGUCGCAGACGACUGGGGUUGGGUGCUCAUCUCGCUUUAUUGGCCAAGGGAGCUGGCGUACAGCUUCCGGGUCAUGUGGCCAGCAUGACUAAGCCGCUUCUGGUAAACCAGAGCAGCGCACAGAAACGCUGGAGCGGUACCUAUUUAUCUACUUGCACUUUGAUGUGCUUUCGAACUGCUAGGAUGUACACCCCCAGAAUGUGAUAAAAUUAAUAUCCUCUAGGUUAUGGUUGCAAUAUUUCAAAAAGUAAUAAUAAUAAUAAUAAUAAUAAUAAUAAUAAUAAUAAUAAUUUAUUUGUACCCCGCCCAUCUGGGCAGUUUCCAACAAAGAUUAAAAAUACAUUUAAAAAACCAGCACAUCCCAAAAGUUGUUGAGUGUUGAGCUUUUUUUUUAGGAAGACCCCAGUAUUGUUGAGCUUACUUUUAGGAAACCAUGAAAAUAAAGAAAUAUUUUUUUAAAAAAAACACACAUGAAUUUUCAAUUGACUUGUAUAAAGUGCCACUAUUCAGAAAUUCCGACUAUUCAGACAUCAGUUCUGUCUUUGAAAUCCCGGUAAUGUCCGGGACAAUCUGGACAUAUGGCAGCCCUACUCUAGGUUUAUUUGUUAAAUUAUUGACAAUAUCAAAAGAUGUACACAUUUAAGUCUUGCCUUUCUUACCAAAAGCAGUGUUCUGUAGUGGUUAGAGUAUCAGACAGGGGAGACGUGAUUUCAAAUCCUUAUUCAGCCAUGAAUCUCACCAGUGGCUUUCAACUAGGCACUGUGUUUCAUUUAAGAAUUAUUACAACAAUGCAAUGGUCAUGCAUGGUAUUCUGAACUCCUUGGAAGAAGAGUAAGGUGUACUGUAAAUAAUAAUUUGCUAGAGGGAUAGCCAUUUUAGAUUUUUGAAAUAAAGAAGCAUUGGCUCUUGUGGCACCGUAAAGGGUAAGAAAAUUUUGAGGGAAUUAUAUCUAAUGAUAGUUCUACUCAGUGAAGACACACUGAAAUGAAUGGACAGGAUUAACUUAUGUGGAUCUAUUGUGAGUAUGAUGUAAUGAUUUCUCUCACCACCACCCCCCCGCCCUCCCCAGUCUUCCCCUUCCCCACAGUGUCACUUAGAGUUAAGAUAAGUGGACAUGUUUCAACCCUGGACUACUUGUGAGGAGGAUCUGCGUGUGACCAUCUGAACACCGAGGGACUGGGGAACGAUAACAUUGCGUCAGAAACAAGCUGUGCUUCUUGAUAAUCUUUGAGAGGAUUUUUAAUUUUCUCCUUUUCGCAAGUGCGUUUAUUUAUUUAUUUUGCGCUGUUGCCUACACAGCGUGUUUGCUCAAUUAUUUGUGCUUUUAGGCAGUCGUUUUCAAAAAGAUGGAAACAAACAGAACUUCCAGUGUGCUUUCAAAGACUGCCUGGCAGCCUUUUGCUGCCAACCUAUCACCCUCAUAGAAGAACUAUUCAGUACUUGCAGCAGUAUCUUACGGUCAAGGUCAAAGCUAAGUCCCAGAAAAAACAAACAGAUCUCAUUUCCAAGAGAGAUGCAGAAUGUUACAGAAUGUUGCCUCGAUCCAGCUAGGGUGAUCUGCCAGAAGAAUCAGGACUUGCACACCCUCCAAGUGUCCCUAUUUUCCAGGGACGUCCCUAAUUUAGAGAAGCCCUUCCGGUUUCUGGAUUUGAUCCUUAGGAUAUCCCUAUUUUCAUCAGAGAAAUGUUGGAGGGUAUGGUACAUCUGCAAUGCCAGUGGCAGGUGGCACAGUGCUGGUGAGUGUCCCAUGGGUGGUGGUGGUGUGGCAGAGCAGGGUGGCACGUCCUGUUUUGCCUCAAGUGGCAAAAUGGGAUGAACCACCCCUGAUCUCAGGAUUCCAGAAUUUACAGCUGUUCGUUCUGAGGAAAGGCAGGCAAGGACCCACAACCCAGGUGGGGCUCGCUAGCUUGGGGAGUAGGUAUGUGAUUCCUCAGCUGGAGUAGACUCAGGACAAGUGGGGGGUCACAUGCCUCACCAAACCCAGAAGGUGUAACAGGAAAGCUGUCCUGGCCAGCUCUCCUGACAGAUGAUUUGGUCUGGAGUCACAGUGUGGAAAUAAAGGAUGAGAUUGCCCACCAGAUACCAAGCAUUCUACUGUACAAAUUAGGCCCCAGUGUUCUUCUUACCAUCCCAUUCUCAAUGUGUCUAAUUUAAAUUAAUCAAUUUUAAUCUAGCAUGUAGAUUCUCAAAACUUUCUCAUUUAAACAUUCAACAAUUUUUGCACAAUCUUGCUUGUUCUCAGUAACCAAAAUUAUAUUAUCUACAUAUACAAGCAGAAAUGUUUCCCCAUUUUGUUGUUUCCCCCAUGAGACAUCGGUUGAAUUGGAUCACAUAUAUCAGGAUGAAUAAGUUGCAAAGGCUCUGUUGAAUUUUUCUGGCUUUGCUUAGAGAUAGAAGGUCUUGUUCCCUUUCCCACCAAACAACUUUCACAUAUUUCACUAUCCAGGUCAACUUUACAAGGUUUAAUUUCCAUUCUUCUCACCAAAUCUUUCUUUGGCAGGUCUGCUAUAAUCCUGAAGCCUCUAUGUGCUAGCCUUUUGUGCCACAGAUGAACACAAGUUGCACUUGAAUUCUUCUUCACCAUAUUCACUCUUUCUUGACCAGUAUCCAGCACAAAGACUCCACAAAGACUUUUGUGCAUACAAAACUCUAGCUUUGGUAACUGUACAUUUGUUGUGAUGAAAAUUUACAUUAAAACCAUGCUUGGUCAGGGUUGACACACUCAGCAAACUCAGCAAGAAAACUACAUCUCUCACUUCAUUACUAUCAGUAUUUCUACCUGCAACACACUUGAGCAAACCUGCUCCUUUUCCUUGCACAGCUAUUUUGUUGCAAUUUGCAACUGUAACUGUCUUUGAUGAGUUUUCAUUUAACGCUCUGAAAAAAAUUAGCAUCACACGUCAUGUGCAUGGAAGCUGCCGACUCAAUUAACGACUAGAAGGUGUAAUAUUAACAGCACCAGUUUUCCUAUAACUUGAUAUUGCUAGAUAGUUCUGAUGAACUACAAAAGCACUUUUAGUUUUCUUUCUGUCACCACCCUGGAACUUUUCUUUAUUAGUGCCACUUUGUUUUGUACAGUUCCUUGCAAAAUGUCCUAUUUUUCCACACGAGAAGCAUCUAGUUUUGUCUGUACCUUGAAAAGCAGUUUUAUUGCUAAAGCACAAGCCCUGCCCACCAGAUAACCAGCACUCUACUAUUCAAAUUAGGCCCCAGUGUUUUUCUUACAGCAGCACCUUCAUCAUGGGUGCCUCCUUUCAGGCCCC
rnacentral:lncRNA from 1 species